CAGGUGCAGUAUUCGUGCCGAAACUCGGCCACAUCGGGCCUUACCCUCUCUCGCGCCUCCCUCAGUGCCUCCCGACACCGCAGCCGCACGUGGCAUCAACAACAAGCGCAGACGCGUGUGCGUUUUCCCUCUUUACGUUUGGCGAGAGCGAGCGCUGCACCGAUCACGGCGCUCACAAAGAGAAGGCGAGGCGAGGCCAACAACGAAGAGCCGUGAGGGAGACUCCCGCACGUUGGCCGUCGAUGCCGACGCCUCCCCAUUCCCCGCUCCACGCACCGCCUCUUCCUCGGUACCGGUAUCAUCCCAAGACAGGGGUAUGGCGGAAGGAGCGGGUGCCGGAGGAUGGCGCUUGUGCGGGCACUACUACCGACACCACCGCAGCGAUCGCAUCACCAGCGUCCGGGCCGACGCCGAGCGAGCCCUUCGAGAGCUCCUAUGACUACUUCUUGCGAUCUUUGCGCCCACCGGUUCACAGGAUUCCGGCUGCGAAGCGCGAGGAGCUGUUUCGUGAGCGCACCAAUGCGAAGCUGCGCCAGUUCGAGAUGCACCUCCUACCGAAAGCAGCGACUGUGACGAAGCGCAACAUGCAUGGCUUGAUCACUGGCGAUGAUUGCAGUAUGACAAAAACGUUGGAGCCAUCGGCGCAGCUGCACCCUCUUGUGGGCUACGCGUCCGCUGUUUCCCUUCCGACGGUGUACUCGGCUCUCGUAAAGGUCACGGGCCGCGUGUUGUCGUUUGCUGCCGCAGGAGAGGAGGACCGGCUCAGCCGAGAGGGCUUCCGCGAACUGCUCGCGCUCAUCGGACCUGCGGAGGUGCUCAGUACCAAGUACGCUGACACGAUGUUUACCUCGCUGCCGUCGUACAAUGCCGAUAGCGACACCACAGAGGCGUUGGCGAUUUUCACUCUGUUGAUCGAGCACCGUCACCACCCUCGGCUGAACUCCAACGUGGAGGCGCUGUUCGGGGCCUUUGACACGGACGUCAAGGGUGUCGUGCCUGCAGAGGCUCUUUACCCGGACGUACUGGCGGCCUGGGCCGUGCAGCGCACCUAUGGCAAUCUACGCGACCAGUGGCAGCGUUUCGCCGCUGUCAUUAGUAUGGAGAGCGAGAGGAGCGCGGAUGCGUUUCCACUUCUGCCUCCUUUGGCUUCACGUACCGCUAUCCGCGCAGCGUUGUGCAGCGCUGCCGCCAUCUACACCGCGGCCUGCUCGCUAGACCUCGACGGCAGCUCUCUGUAGUACACACCCUUUCACGCGAGCGAGGAGUGAAGAGGUGUGGGUGUGUAGUAGCUCUUCGAGAGAAAGGGGGACAUGCAUUGCGACCAGAAAGCGCGCUGUUAAAUGCGCAUGCGUACCCCCCCCCGACACCUCUCCUCUUCUUUUGCCUGCCAUGUACAUCAGCCUCCUCCUCUCCUUCCUUUUUUGUUUUCUUCUUUGCCUGCACCUUAUUCACCUGCUCACUUCAUUGGUGUGAUGCGCACGUUUCUUCUU
rnacentral:misc_RNA from 1 species